CACAGGAAAAGGCUUUCCAAAGGUUUUUUCCAUUUUCCAAAAAUGUCAGUCUCUUAACCAUGCAACGAUGAAAAUACAAACUUCAGACAAGAAGUCUCCAUCCUCGCCUUUUGUGCAUCUUGCUGCCUUGAACACUCAGGGCGGCGGGCCACCUUUGAAGCAAGGUGGCAAUAGCUCAUCUGAAGCACCUACCCCUUUCAAUUUUUCAGGAAGAAAGAAGUUUGCACUUAUUAACUUCCAAAAAUAAAAGGCUAUUUAAAGUCAACAGCCUAAACUAAGCCUAGGUGGAGCUGGCUUGGUAUUUUAAUCUUUUGGAGCUACAGCAUCAGGAUUUUCACACAAUAGUUAAGAUUUGGCAGGAUUUUUCUACAGGAGAAGACACCUCAGAAAGUGAGAAUCCCAUGUUUCACAUGCCAGGGGAUGCCACCUCAAUACUCUCCCAAAUCUGGGGUAUUCCUGAGAUCAGAGCAAGUGUCAUAAGGUAAUUUAAGCAGGCAUAAAUGUAAUAUAGGACGUUGUAUACUAAAGUAGCCUGCUUUAGGGCUCUUACUGGUAACAAGUAAUCCUACAAUGACAUGAGAAAACCCAUUUGUCUCUCCAGUUGGGUUUGUGCUGCCCCUGCAUCUUUGAUUACUGGCAGCACACUAUCCUUCAUAACGAAAGUUACUAGAGUUGAGCAUAAGCACUCCACCAAGAGUGUGUUACAGGAGGUGUUUGACUCCACCAAGCUGCAGAGAUUCAAUUAAUUAGUCCAGUUCUUCAGCCCAACAGCCUGAGCUAUGACCACCCGCAGGGAGCCUGGCCAACAUUAAGUUGGUUUUCCCACAAGCCAGACCCAAGCAAAAGAGCGUUGCAUGCCCCUCGCUCAUCACAGUAACGAGCAGCAAGUGAUCGUACCCGUUAUUAACUGGAGAGAGUACAACAUCGGGCUUCCUGUCCAAACUGAACCAGGGAGAAGUUCCAGAUGUAACUGUUCAGACCAGCCAUGUGCAGACAGAGACCCAGGAGACAAGAAGCCAUUGAUGUUUUCCACGAAAAAUACCCCUGCUAGGACAUAGGACUGCCAAGAGAGGAUAAGACAGCGUUUCAGAGAAGCAAUUUACUUUGGUCUCACCUUGUAACGUGCUCCCUCC
rnacentral:lncRNA from 1 species